CCUACGGGAGGCAGCAGUGGGGAAUAUUGCGCAAUGGGCGAAAGCCUGACGCAGCGACGCCGCGUGAGGGAUGAAGGUCUUCGGAUCGUAAACCUCUGUCAGCAGGGAAGAACGGUCACUGUGCUAAUCAGCAGUGAAUUGACGGUACCUGCAAAGGAAGCACCGGCUAACUCCGUGCCAGCAGCCGCGUUAAUACGGAGGGUGCGAGCGUUAAUCGGAAUUACUGGGCGUAAAGCGCUCGUAGGCGGUAUGUCAAGUCAAGGGUGAAAUCCCCGCGCUCAACGUGGGAACUGCCUUUGAAACUGGCAAACUGGGGUGUGUGAGAGGAUAGUGGAAUUCCAGGUGUAGGAGUGAAAUCCGUAGAUAUCUGGAGGAACAUCAGUGGCGAAGGCGACUAUCUGGCACAUAACUGACGCUGAGGAGCGAAAGCGUGGGUAGCAAACAGGAUUAGAUACCCUUGUAGUC
rnacentral:rRNA from 1 species